rnacentral:rRNA from 1 species
GACGAACGCUGGCGGCGUGCUUAACACAUGCAAGUCGAACGGAAAGGCCCCUUUGGGGGUACUCGAGUGGCUAACUGUUUUGUAACACGUGAGUAACCUGCCCUUGACUUCGGGAUAACUUCAGUAAACUGGUUCUAAUACCGGAUUGUAAUCCUUGCUGCAUGGUGGGGGUUGGAAAGCUUCGGCUGUUUUGGUUGGACUCGCUGCUUAUCUGCUUGUUGGUGGGGUUGUGGCUUACCAAGGAUUUGACGGGUAGCCGGACUGAGAGGGCGAACGGCCACAUUGGGAAUGAGAUACGGCACAGACACAGACGGGAGGCAGAAGUGGGGAAUAAUGCAAAAUGGGAGGAAGACUGAUGCAGCAAAGAAGAGUGAGGGAUGAAGGCAUUCGGGUUGAAAAACGAAUUAAGCAGGGGAGAAGCUUGUGGUGACGGUAAAAGAAGAAGAAGAACCGGAUAACUACGUG